GAUGAACGCUAGCGGAAGGCCUAACACAUGCAAGCCGAGCGGUAGAAUUUCUUCGGAGAUUUGAGAGCGGCGUACGGGUGCGUAACACGUGUGCAACCUACCUUUAUCUGGGGGAUAGCCUUUCGAAAGGAAGAUUAAUACCCCAUAAUAUAAUGAAUGGCAUCAUUUAUUAUUGAAAACUCCGGUGGAUAGAGAUGGGGCACGCGCAAGAUUAGAUAGUUGGUGAGGUAACGGCUCACCAAGUCAAUGAUCUUUAGGGGGCCUGAGAGGGUGAUCCCCCACACUGGUACUGAGACACGGACCAGACUCCUACGGGAGGCAGCAGUGAGGAAUAUUGGACAAUGGGUGAGAGCCUGAUCCAGCCAUCCGCGUGAAGGACGACUGCCCCUA
rnacentral:rRNA from 1 species